GAGAUAGCUCAGUCGGUAGAGCAUGAGACUCUUAAUCUCAGAGUCAUGGGUUUGAGCCCCACAUUGGGCAUCA